ACUAUCUCAUGGGGGUGCCCGACGAAGACCGAUCGGGCUGAGAGGCAAAAGACCAACUCCUUGAACCUGAUCCGGUUGGUACCGGCGGAGGGAUUUGAGAUGAAGAUCUUA
rnacentral:ncRNA from 2 species